AUGGCCGAGAGCGUCAUUCACUCAGUGAGCGGAAUAGGGUUUAAUUCAGCAGCGAUCGGAGACAUCACCGCCCCAGAGGGAAGUGAACAAACAGCAUCUGCUUAAAGCAGCGCAGCGGUUUGGAGCCGCGUCCGCAGAUAUGCUCAGAGAUUGGCAUUGAGUGUCCGGGCAGCUGGGGCGGAGACGGCGGCUGUUUUGAAUGGGCUCCCUGGAACACGAGCUGCUCCCGGAACAUGGAGUGAGCGGGGGGGAAGGGAGAGGCCAUUCUCGAGCAGUGUCUGGACAGAGUGAGAAGAACUCGCCAUUGAAGAUCAUUGCUGCUUUCUCUCCCCAAACCCGAGUGAAGCUUCCUGGCUUAGUUCCGGUCUCCACUGUCCCUUGUUAUUGGACAGAGAAUGGCGGGGAAAAUAGCCGCACAGUAACAAUGUUUCCAGUUACACAAAGAAGAUCAAUUUCAGGCACCAGGUAAAUGAGUUAUGUUUUCAGCGUGCAAGGAAAGAGUUGAAGGAACCAAAUGAUUCCUCGAAACAUGGAAAAUUGCAACAGGAUGGUUCCAACUCACAGCAAAGAAUUAAAGGAACCAGAAUAAAUGUGAUGUUUUCUCCAGCCAAGUUAGAAUGAAGACUCCUGCCAGCUCCUUCUCUCACACACAAAAUCCAAAAAAAAGGGUGACUUGUUCUGGAGGUCAAUGAAAGCAUAUAUUGGCUGUGUGUUGGAGGCUUGUUGGUCCAGAGCUCUGAACGGAUGGAUGGUCUGCUUUGAAAGCCAAUGGAAGUCUGUAUUGGCUGAGUUAUAUACAUGCAGUUACAUUGUUGGUCUCAUGGUGUGAUUCUCACUAUGGGAUUGUUCAUAAAUGAGAAUAAGAGCGGUCGCAGUUUCAAAUCUCAGAUCUGUAACACCAAGAUAAAUCCAGUUCUACGAUAAAAAGUAUGAAUGAGUCAGAGUCCAGAACUGGAUUCAGAAUCCGAAAAGAUGAUGCUAAGCAACAGAACCAGGAGUCCAGUCUGGCCAGUGAGGAAUCUACCCCGAACCACUAAUGUUCACACAGCCGCUCACUCCAUCUGUCCAAAUGGAAACCUGCCUGAAGGAACAUGCAGCCUGACAAUGUGAAACAAAUAGUUGGAAAGUUCAGCAAUUUCCUACAUUAAAACGCCAAACACACUUGAGAAGUACUCCUGUGGUUGUAACGCAUCAUUGUGACAUCUUGUGGUUGUUGAAACAGCUGAAGAAAAGCAAACCUUUGUUUCCUUUGAGACAAAAUCUAUCCAACGCAGGACGUUCCCUCCUUCUUGCUCUUCCUCAUUCCCUGCACACAUUGGAGUCUGAUCUCGCAGGCUUCAUAGACGCAAUCUCGGCUGCCUGUCAAAGAGCUGAUCAGAACCUGUUUCCUUAUCCAGGUAAACACCUACACAGA